UACGGAGGGUGCGAGCGUUGUCCGGAAUCACUGGGCGUAAAGGGCGCGUAGGCGGCCUGAUAAGUAGGGGGGUGAAAUCUUGCGGCUUAACCGCAAGGCUGCCUUCUAAACUGUCGAGGCUAGAGCACAGUAGAGGCAGGUGGAAUUCCCGGUGUAGCGGUGGAAUGCGUAGAGAUCGGGAAGAACAUCAGUGGCGAAGGCGGCCUGCUGGGCUGUUGCUGACGCUGAGGCGCGACAGCGUGGGGAGCAAACAGG
rnacentral:rRNA from 1 species